UCUUCGUCAUCAUACAAACUACAACGCGUGUGUUUUCGCCCACCGGUAUGGUGUGGGUGCCCGCUAGCUGCUGCAAACUUAUUGAAAUGUGAUCGGGAAAUCCAGUCACAAAGGCCAACCUCACAACACUCUCCAUUGCCUCACCGGAAAUCCCUGAUAAAGCUACCAAUCUCCUAAUCUCACUCGCAUAGUCGUCGACCUGUUCUCCGGUCCACCUCACGCUUCCGAGCUUACUAUACGCCUUAAAUGCUCCCUCCGU